UACGGAGGGAGCUAGCGUUAUUCGGAAUUACUGGGCGUAAAGCGCACGUAGGCGGCUUUGUAAGUAAGAGGUGAAAGCCUGGAGCUCAACUCCAGAAUUGCCUUUUAGACUGCAUCGCUUGAAUCAUGGAGAGGUGAGUGGAAUUCCGAGUGUAGAGGUGAAAUUCGUAGAUAUUCGGAAGAACACCAGUGGCGAAGGCGGUGAGCUGGGCAGUUGCUGACACUGAGGCGCGACAGCGUGGGGAGCAAACAGGG
rnacentral:rRNA from 1 species